rnacentral:rRNA from 1 species
AGUGAACGCUGGCGGUAGGCCUAACACAUGCAAGUCGAACGGCAGCACAGUAAGAGCUUGCUCUUACGGGUGGCGAGUGGCGGACGGGUGAGGAAUACAUCGGAAUCUACUUUUUCGUGGGGGAUAACGUAGGGAAACUUACGCUAAUACCGCAUACGACCUACGGGUGAAAGCAGGGGAUCUUCUGACCUUGCGCGAUUGAAUGAGCCGAUGUCGGAUUAGCUAGUUGGCGGGGUAAAGGCCCACCAAGGCGACGAUCCGUAGCUGGUCUGAGAGGAUGAUCAGCCGCACUGGAACUAUGACACGGUCCAGACUCCUACGGGAGGCAGCAGUGGGGAAUAUUAGGCAAUGGGCGCAAGCCUGAACCAGCCAUACCGCGUGGGUGAAGAAGACUUUCGUGUUGUAAAGCCCUUUUGUUGGGAAAGAAAAGCAGCAGGUUAAUACCCCGCUGUUCUGACGGUACCCAAGGAAUAAGCACCGGCUAACUUCGUG